rnacentral:rRNA from 1 species
CCAAUAAUUUUGAUUAAAAGAUUAAAUUACCUUAGGGAUAACAGCGUAAUUUUUUUUGAGAGUUCUUAUCGAAAAAAAAGAUUGCGACCUCGAUGUUGGAUUAAAAUAAAUUUUUGGUGUAGAAGCUAAAAAAGUAGGUCUGUUCGACCUUUAAAAUUUUACAUGAUCUGAGUUUAAAUCGGCGUGAGCCAGGUUGGUUUCUAUCUUUAAUUAANCAUAAUAUUUUAGUACGAAAGGACCAAAUAUUAAUAAAUUUUAUUUUAUAUUGAAUAG